GCCGGAGUAGCUCAGCUGGUAGAGCAACUCACUUGUAAUGAGUAGGUCGGGAGUUCAAAUCUUCUCUCCGGCUCCA
rnacentral:tRNA from 1 species